rnacentral:rRNA from 1 species
UGGUGGAGUGAUUUGUCUGCUUAAUUGCGAUAACGAACGAGACCUUAACCUGCUAAAUAGUUACACGAAGUUCGCUUCGUCUGUAACUUCUUAGAGGGACAAUGCAAGUCAAUUGUAUGGAAGUUUGAGGCAAUAACA